CACAGCGCGUGUUGUCCGCAGAUAAGGUGCAGUGUUAGUACCAGAGAGUCAGGAGGCAGAUAAACCCUGUGAUAAGUUGUACGAUGACUGCAUAAAAUGGUCUGUGGAUGUGGCCUAUUUAACACCACCCACCAACGCCGAUGGAAGUUUGCAUUUCCCGGACGACUUUUUCAAUAGAGUCUGUGGAUAUUUCACCAACGCCAGUGUUUGUUAUAAACUAACGACGCCUGAAGAUUGCGAGCCGGAUUUUCCACCCAACAACAUGAUAAAGAAAAUGAACAUUAUAUCCAUCAAAUUGUGCCGAAAUACAGACGCCCUGAACACGCUUGUUCCCUGCUUGAAUGAUAAAGAAUUCUAUGACGCAUAUUGGCGCGCAUCCGAAUAUGAGGGCCGUGAAAAGGAAAUUCCUUGCAAUGUGGCCAAGGAACAAAUUCGGCGGGUUUUGCGACUCUUCAAAGACAGAUGUGGUGAAGCUGAGUAUACUAAUCUGAAAACAGUGAUGGAGGAUGUUGGGGAGGAUCUACUUCCGGAAUUAGACUACCCAACCUGCAGUAUUGACGUCAACACCCUUACUCCCGACAAACGCGAGAGGGGCGUGUCCAGUGUAUCAU